rnacentral:misc_RNA from 1 species
GCCGGUUACGAUAAGUUGCAGGUGAUUGUCUUUGGGAAGAAAUAUGGAUCUGGUGGUGCCUAAGCUGUGUAGUUGACCUCAGAGGUUCAUUUUUCAGAUGUUGAUGAAAAUGUCUCCAGAGUUUUGGAUUUGGUUCCGGCGAUUUUUUAAAAUUUCAAUAAUUUAGUUUUGAAGGGAGUAAUUCCCAAACUUUAAUAUCAUUUAAAGGGCUAUAAUUUAGUUUUGGACUCAGAUGCAGGAUUUUUAGAUGUGUUUCACAUUGGGGUCAACCCCUUAGAAUCUCAAAAUAAUUUUUCAGAUAAUUUGAUUGAAUUAUGUUCUGUUUAUUUAAGCAACUGAAACAUUAUUGCUUACAACUGAGGUUGUCCAUCUGGGCUUGUAGUGGGCACAAUGUUUCAAUCUUGUUCGUUCAAACUUGGCAUUGUGAAG